rnacentral:rRNA from 1 species
GACGAACGCUGGCGGCGUGCUUAACACAUGCAAGUCGAACGAAGUGGCGAACGGGUGAGUAACGCGUAAUCAACCUGCCCUUCGGAGGGGGACAACAGUUGGAAACGACUGCUAAUCCCGCAUACUGAAGGAGGAGAUGGAGGUGGAUUGGCUCGUUGGGUGGGGAACGGCCCACCAAGGCGAUGAUCAGUAGCCGGUCUGGGAGGAUGAACGGCCAAAUUGGGACUGAGACACGGCCCAGACUCCUACGGGAGGCAGCAGUGGGGAAUCUUCCGCAAUGGACGAAAGUCUGACGGAGCAACGCCGCGGGAGUGAUGACGGCCUUCGGGUUGGAAAGCUCUGUUAAUCGGGACGCGGUACCGGAAUAGAAAGCCACGGCUAACUACGUGCCAGCAGCCGCGGUAAUUC